CAGCCAAACACAUCCUACAAGUCUGUGCUCACUCCAGUAUCAGGAAACACCUUAAGGUGUUGAUAUAUAUUGCUAAUAUGGAAGGGAAGUGGCCCGGGUUUGUUGGACCAUGGAUUCGUUACUUCCUCUUCUCUCUCUUUUGUGUUGUUGUCCUGUUGAUUUAUCUGAACUCCUACCUUUAUAGAGAUCUGAGAGAAAGACAUGAACGAAUGAGCAGGGCACUGACACGCAUGAGAUCUACUGUUGUGACAAACAUCAAGUCUCAGGAGGAUAUUUAUGAAGAUGUUGAAGAUGGACUUUGAGCUGUUCAGCUGAGCUGAAGCUGUAACUGACAAAGCAAAACGAAUCAAAGCAUUAUUUCACAGAACCAAAAAACAGUUGAUUUGCGAUAAACACCUCUUGCAGGACAGAGGUUACAGUUGUAUAAAAGGUUGCAUGGAAAAUUGCACUAUACUGUAACUGGAAUGUCAACUUCUUCAUGCAAUGAGACAUAGAAACAUAUGUGCUCAGUAAAUUGCAUUAUAAUUCUAUGACUCUGUCAUUGACAAAGAUACCAAGAUUACUGUAUGUAGUAGAUUGCAAUAGAGAAUAGCCUCAUUCAGUCACUCAGGUAGAAUAAAUGCAAAUUAGGCUCAGUGUAAUUGACUUGACUUAACUCUCUCAUUCUCCACCUCAAUCUGGUUUGUGAUGAGCGUUCUGACGCAUAUGGCUGCCGUGCAUCACCCAAGUGAUUACCACAUUGGUAGUGUGAGGUUUUCCACUUACACUGAGAAGAAGCGCUUAAAUGCAAUGUGUUGUUGUUGUUGUUGUUGUUGUUGUUGUUGUUGUUGUCAAUUGGCCCUAUGAGAACAUGAACUUCAAAAGUUCUACCUUAGUCUGCACAGUUUGAAAUUACUUUUUUGCAUUCAAUUAACCAAAACUGAUAUGUGAAACAGGACUCGUCAGAUAUAAUGUCCAAAAAUGG